rnacentral:rRNA from 1 species
CAGCAGCCGCGGGAAUACGUAGGUGGCAAGCGUUGUCCGGAAUUAUUGGGCGUAAAGGGCUCGCAGGCGGUUUCUUAAGUCUGAUGUGAAAGCCCCCGGCUCAACCGGGGAGGGUCAUUGGAAACUGGGAAACUUGAGUGCAGAAGAGGAGAGUGGAAUUCCACGUGUAGCGGUGAAAUGCGUAGAGAUGUGGAGGAACACCAGUGGCGAAGGCGACUCUCUGGUCUGUAACUGACGCUGAGGAGCGAAAGCGUGGGGAGCGAGCAGGAUUAGAGACCCGCGUAGUCCCUGUCUCUUAUAC